GAGGAUGCUGGGGAGGUGCGCUGUCUUCACAGUGCAGUUGUUACGCAACCCUGACGCAACCCUGAGGGGAAUUUAACGAUUCCCUUGUAGGGCAAUCCUCUAUUAGGGGAAUUGUCAGAUUCUCGAAAACUGUUUUGAUUUACUAUGUUUCGUACAGUCUAAAAUAACGAAAAUAGGUCAAAAUCUCCCCCAUUUUUUAAUUUCAAUUUCAAAAAUAAAUUUUUCUCUAGGUAA
rnacentral:telomerase_RNA from 1 species